CGACCACUCGGACCAAACAACUGUGUCGCCAAAACUCGUUUUUUUCUUUUUUAUAUUAAAAAAACAGAACCACGGUUUUUUCAACUUGUAUUAAUUAAUAUUAUUAAUUUUCUUCGUCUCUAUUGGAGUCUGCUAUAUUUCCUGCGUCGCAGACGGAGGAGGAGAAUUUGCCUCGCCGCCAUCAAACAAAGGCGGCAAUUGUUUCAACGGUUUUCCUCUCCCUCUCUCCAAUGUCUUCUCCCUUAUCCAUUGCCGGUUUCUCCAUCUCAGUUUCUG